CCAUUUGAUGAUCAAACCUAUUCAUUACCUGAGUUCAUCAUGAUGAACCAACCCAAUUCACCUUGGAGAACUGAUAU
rnacentral:snoRNA from 1 species